AAAGCUUAGUUUCUUUCAUGUUGGGAUUGGCAGGUAGCAUCAAUAUUCUAUGUCGUCCAAAGUUGAUAAGAUUGGUUACCCUUCCACAUGCUUCUGAAUUCAGUUCUACUCUUUGAUUUUCUAGGACUCUCUUAGCCUCCACCCAUGUGAACCAUAAUAUCUAUAUUACGGAGGUGAAGACUGGCAAGUGUGUUCAUUCCCUGAUUGGACACCGCCGUACUCCAUGGUGUGUCACUUUUCAUCCCACCAUCUCAGGCCUUAUUGCUUCUGGCUGCCUAGAUGGGGAGGUUAGGAUUUGGGAUUUACACGUGAGUAUUUCCUUAAGAUACCCUUUUCUUUUGGUGUUCUAAUUUUUUUUUUUUGAGACGGAGUCUCGCUCUGUUGCAGUGUGCUGAGAUUGUGCCACUGCACUCCAGCCUGGGUGACA
rnacentral:lncRNA from 10 species